AAACCUACAACAGUGAUACUCGCAUUACAAAAUAUAUUUUAUUGCAUCACACUUUUUUAUCAUUUAAAAAACUAGUUACAACGCUUGAGACUGGCUCCUGAAGCUCUUGCAAACACACAAACAUAAUCACAUCAAAUUAAACAGGGGGAAGGGAAGAAAACAAACACACACACACAUACAAACACACAAGGGCUUUGCUUUCGUACCAAAUUUAUUAGCAAACCAAAGACACUAUCUUGAAAACAUUUACAGUUAUCACUUAGCCAGAGAUCUCAAUAGCCUUAACUUCAGGUUUCUUCUCCUCCUGUUUAGGAACGGUGACUGUGAGCACACCAUUCUCCAUGCUGGCCUUAACCUGUUCCACCUUAGCAUUGUCGGGCAACCUGAACCUCCUCAGGAACUUGCCACUGCUCCUCUCGACGCGAUGCCACUUGUCAUUCUUCUCUUCCUGCUCCUUGCUCCUCUCUCCGCUUAUCUGCAGAAUCCUGCCCUCUUCAACCUCAACUUUUACUUCUUCUUUCCUCAGCCCUGGAAGAUCAGCUUUGAAUAC
rnacentral:lncRNA from 1 species